UCAAGGGCAUGUGGUGCAUGUACACAGUAGAGUAUGGCUCAGCCAUGAAGAAUGAAACUGGCAUUUGCCAGGACAGUGCCAAGUCAAGGGCCAGAUGUCUUCUCACGUGGAGGCAAAGCAAACGGGUGGUCAGUGAGGUGGAGUGGGGAGGGAGGCAGAGUGCAGGGUGGAGGACACAUGCUGUGUGUGAGGCACUGAUGAAAGGCAUGCGGGGUGGAGGAGGGAGACCAGGGCGGCGGGCAGCAGGGCAGGUGUGAUCACGUCCAGCCGGGUGUGGCCGGGUCCAGGUGACCCAGCUGCCGGGUGCAACUGCUGCUCUCCCUACAGAGCCAGCCAGACACUGUGGUGCUCAGGAAAGGCGUGCUCAGUGGUCAGGCACCCUGGAUUCGAUCCCUGUGCAGCCCCCCAAGAAAAAUCCUAAAAAUAGUUCCACAAAAGUGUCCUGCCUCCGAGUCUGGAGUCACUGGGUCACUGGCAUGUGGCACCGUGCAACCUCUGCUCCUAUUCUUGUGAGAGAUGUUUAA
rnacentral:lncRNA from 1 species